GAAAAAAACAAUAUAUAAUUUGUAUGGGAACAGCAAAUGAGAGAGAGGAAAAUUACAGCUAAACACAAACACCACAAAAGUGUUAAAACAGCCCUGGUCCUUAACAUACAACAUGGCCAAAACAGUCUGGUCCUUAAGGGGUUAAAACAUGAACAAAAAACUAAAAAUAACACUGUGUAUAUCUAAGUAAUUUACAUUUUUAGACAUCUAUGAACAACAAUUUAUAUACCAGGGCCCAAAAUGUAUACUCUUCACUAGCCAUUAAAGGGACAUUCCAGGCACCCAAACCACUUCUGCCCAUUGGGGUGGCCUGGGUGCCAACUCCCACUACCCUUAACCCUGCAGCUG